rnacentral:rRNA from 1 species
CAGUAGCCGCGGUAAUACGUAGGUGGCAAGCGUUGUCCGGAAUUAUUGGGCGUAAAGGGCUCGCAGGCGGUUUCUUAAGUCUGAUGUGAAAGCCCCCGGCUCAACCGGGGAGGGUCAUUGGAAACUGGGAAACUUGAGUGCAGAAGAGGAGAGUGGAAUUCCACGUGUAGCGGUGAAAUGCGUAGAGAUGUGGAGGAACACCAGUGGCGAAGGCGACUCCCUGGUCUGUAACUGACGCUGAGGAGCGAAAGCGUGGGGAGCGAACAGGAUUAGAUACCCGAGUAGUCCCUGUCUCUUAUAC